CGUUGCUUUUUGAUCCUUCGA
rnacentral:snRNA from 1 species